GAAAUAGUAGCUUAAUCCUAAAGCAUAACGCUGAAAAUGUUAAGAUAGCUAAACCCUCUAUUCCA
rnacentral:tRNA from 1 species